rnacentral:pre_miRNA from 1 species
UUAGAUGUGUGAGAAUAACAGUGUAGUUAGCUACAUCAAACUAUACUGUUAUUCUCACACAUCUAAC